UACGAAGGGGGCUAGCGUUGUUCGGAAUUACUGGGCGUAAAGCGCGCGCAGGCGGUCUUCCAAGUCAGUGGUGAAAGCCUGGAGCUCAACUCCAGAACUGCCAUUGAAACUGUUAGACUUGAGUACGAGAGAGGUGAGUGGAAUUCCCAGUGUAGAGGUGAAAUUCGUAGAUAUUGGGAAGAACACCAGUGGCGAAGGCGGCUCACUGGCUCGUAACUGACGCUCAGGCGCGACAGCGUGGGGGAUCAAACAGG
rnacentral:rRNA from 1 species